AAACGGGGUGAGGAACAGCUGAUCAGCCAUGCCGCGUGCAUGAAGAAGGCCUUCUGGGUUGUAAACUGCUUUUAUCGGGAAAGAAAAGGCUCCUGCGGGAGUAACUGACGGUACCUGGUGAAUAAGCACCGGCUAACUCCGUGCCAGCAGCCGCGGUAAUACGGAGGGUGCAGGCGUUGUCCGGAUUUAUUGGGUUUAAAGGGUGCGUAGGCGGCCCGUUAAGUCAGCGGUGAAAUCCCACGGUUCAACCUUGGAACUGCCAUUGAUACUGGCGGGCUUGAGUGCGGUCGAGGCGGGCGGAACUGGUGGUGUAGCGGUGAAAUGCUUAGAUACCACCAAGAACCCCUAUUGCGUAGGCAGCUCUCUUGCCCGAAACUGACGCUGAGGCACGAAAGCGUGGGGAGCGAACAGGAUUAGAUACCCUGGUAGUCCACGCCGUAAACGAUGAUUACUCGAUGUUGGCGAUACACUGUCAGCGUCCUAGCGAAAGCGUUAAGUUGUCCACCUGGGGAGUACGCCCGCGAGGGGUGAAACUCAAAAAUUUUGACGGGAUGCGGGA
rnacentral:rRNA from 1 species